rnacentral:rRNA from 1 species
GUGGGGAAUAUUGGACAAUGGGCGCAAGCCUGAUCCAGCCAUACCGCGUGGGUGAAGAAGGCCUUCGGGUUGUAAAGCCCUUUUGUUGGGAAAGAAAUCCAGCCGGCUAAUACCUGGUUGGGAUGACGGUACCCAAAGAAUAAGCACCGGCUAACUUCGUGCCAGCAGCCGCGGUAAUACGAAGGGUGCAAGCGUUACUCGGAAUUACUGGGCGUAAAGCGUGCGUAGGUGGUCGUUUAAGUCCGUUGUGAAAGCCCUGGGCUCAACCUGGGAACUGCAGUGGAUACUGGGCGACUAGAGUGUGGUAGAGGGUAGCGGAAUUCCUGGUGUAGCAGUGAAAUGCGUAGAGAUCAGGAGGAACAUCCAUGGCGAAGGCAGCUACCUGGACCAACACUGACACUGAGGCACGAAAGCGUGGGGAGCAAACAGGAUUAGAAACCCUAGUAGUCCC